rnacentral:rRNA from 1 species
UACGGGGGGAGCAAGCGUUGUUCGGAUUUACUGGGCGUAAAGGGCGCGUAGGCGGUCGUGACAAGUCACUUGUGAAAUCUCCGGGCUUAACUCGGAACGGUCAAGUGAUACUGUCGGACUAGAGUACAGAAGGGGCAACUGGAAUUCUCGGUGUAGCGGUGAAAAUGCGUAGAUAUCGAGAGGAACACCUGCGGCGAAGGCGGGUUGCUGGGCUGAUACUGACGCUGAGGCGCGAAAGCUAGGGGAGCGAACGGG